AGAAUGAACGCUGGCGGCGUGCUUAACACAUGCAAGUCGAGCGAGGCCAGGGGGGCAACUCCCGGAGUCGAGCGGCGGACGGGUGAGUAACACGUGGGUAACCUACCCGGAAGUGGGGAAUACCUCGGGGGAAACUCGAGCUAAUACCGCAUGACAUCUCGAGGACGAAAGUCCUUUUGAUCAAAGCGGGGCCGCAAGGCCUCGUGCUACCGGAUGGGCCCGCGCCCGAUUAGCUAGUUGGCGAGGUAAUGGCUCACCAAGGCGACGAUCGGUAACCGGCCUGAGAGGGCGAUCGGUCACACCGGAACUGAGACACGGUCCGGACUCCUAGUGGGAGCAGCAGGUGGGGAAUCUUGCGACAAUGGGACGAAAGCCUGGACGCAGCAACGCCGCGUGGAGAUGAAGGCCGUUGGUGUAAACUCCUGUCGCGUGGAAGAACUCGUUCGCGACUAAUACUCGCGGACGUUGACUCGUACAGACGAAAGGAACGCCCGACUAACUC
rnacentral:rRNA from 1 species